rnacentral:other from 1 species
UGAAUCCUGAAAUGUUCGAUAACCUAUAAUUUUGAACCUACAGUUCAAGAAGGGGUUUCCUAUAACAUGUAUCUACGUCAGGCCGCAAGCUAAUUCCCUUUGGGCAGCGGAAGGCGGACGUGCAUGUGCGGUUGCCCACCUAGCUGUAUUUGCUAGGUGUCAAAAUAUAGGACCGGCAUUUUGGGUUUUUU